AAGAGAGAUCAAUUCUCCUCCCCAAUUCUCUAAGAUCCAAAUUCAAAGUAAAAGCUCAAAAUUACAAAGAUGAAUAUCAAAAGAAAGCUAAAAGUGAAAAGUAAAAAAAAAGCUGCGGAGGUUAAAAGUCCUUUUUUUUCUAAAUCAAACUAACACCUAUUUAUACACUUCCUAAUUUAGAUCUAAGAAUUUGGGUGGGCUUUAAAAUUUUGUAAAGAAAUGAAUUAAAUUAGAUUUUUAAUGAAUUUUUGGCCCAAUAUUGCACCUCCCAGGGACGGCUCAGUUGGAAAACCAAACUGAGCACCCCAAAUGUUGCUGUCCGUGUCCAAUUUGGUACGUCCAGCCUUGGUUGAGUUGAUCUACAAUAGAGCUCAGUUGAAAAAUUGAACUGAGCUCUAUGCUUGCCUUUGGUGUGUCAAUGUUGUGUGCAUCAUGGCAUCCUUGGCCGUGUCAAUGUGCGCUUCUUGUUGCUCCUUGGCGUGCCAAAGUGUGGGGAGAUGGGGGGAGUAGCGCUCAGUUGGAAAAACCAACUGAACUCCCAUUGUGGCGCCUUGUUUUUGUCUUCAAGGUCCCAGGUUCAACUCUUGGUGGAGGAAAUUUGAAGCUAAUUACCUUGGGGGGGUUGGACGCUCCUUCCUUGCUUUUCAUAGAGUUCCCUGGUUCGAUCCUCUUGGAGUGCAUCUUGGCUCAUUUUCUUGCAAGCUAAGUGGCGCUCCUCCCUUGUGUUCCAAAGAGUUCCCAGGUUCGAAUCCUAGCCCAUCCACCUUGGUUUAUUUUUCUUGCAAGCUUGGUAGUGAGAGAUCCCUUGUUCGAACCUUGGAGGAAGCAUUUUGGCUAAUUCUUCUUGAUUUUCCUUGCAAAGAGCGUUCCUUGCCUCCCUUGGGUCAUUGGUUCGAAACUUGGUGGCUUCCUCCCUUGGAACUUCAUCUUGAAUUAAUUUUGAGAAGUCCCCGAUAAAGCUCACUUAGUGAACUGAGCUUUAUGCUAUUUCCUUGCUUUCUUUAGUGCUCAGUUGACUAAGUGAACUGGGCUUGGUGCCUUGCUUUCUCCCAUUUUUCUUUGUGAAGCUCAGUUUGCUUUCUCAACUUAGUUUCCUUCUUCCUCAAUGUUACCACGCUUUUUCUUCCCUUGGGCACGCUCCUUAAGCCACGCUUUUCUUAUUUUCUUCUUUCUUCACCUACAAAUAAUCAAAUCAACCAAUCAAAGUAUCACAAAUUUCACAGGGUUUAUAAAUCAAUUAAUUAUCAAUUAAAUUUAGCUUAAACAUCAUGAUUUAAUAUCAAUUAAAGGAUGGUUGAUUGAUUCAAAGAAACCAUGCAAUUCCACUCCAAAUUACUUACUUACGAUGUAAGAAAGUGCAUAAAACCUAAUAAAAACAAAGAAAAAGACUGGUAAAACUAGGCUAAGAUGACUUGUCAUCAUACCCCUACCCCUUUUCUAGGCUGAAAGUGGUAAUGGAGCGUAUGACAGACCUUGUCUACUUUUCCCAUGAUAUAUGCGUAGCCAUUAGCAUGAAAGUCGCAGCAAAUUCCUUUAGGGACCUAUGCAGUCUCAAGAUGACAUGAAAGGCUUUGCGCGAGGUAGGAGAUGAGGAUAUUAUUCACACAUGUGUUUCAAUACCAGAACCACGUGAAUUUGGGUGGAGUUGGUAUCUUGACCCGAGCGCAACGAGAUUCUUUCACCGGUGCUGGGCGAUGGGUCAUCCGGAGCUUCUCUAUUGGGAUGGAAUUCGACAGCUUUUUAUUCGAUGAUUAGAUGAUUUUGGUUUGCAACUUCUACGAACUGCUGCAAUCCAAGGCCACGACGCUGCGAGAUAUGCACUAUCAAUGAUGUUUCUACUUCGCAACGAGUCUAAGGAGUCAAAAAACAACGGAAUGCUAAUGUUUCGUUCACUUGAGGAGUUUGGUUUACUAACCAUCUGCAGAGAUAAGUUCUCUCAAGUUAUCGGCUAUUUGUGACCAUUUAAUGAGAAUGUGCCUAUGCUAAACACAGACGUUUAGUAUGUGCUUCUACGUCAUGUCCAACCCGUGGCCACAUGAGUCGUCUUUAUAACCAUCACCACUAUGGAAGAGGGUGGCAUUGCAACAACGGUAAUGGAGGUUCUAGUGAUGUAGCCUGUAUCUACUAUCACUCAAACUAUGAGUUGAUAUUAUUUGUCAACCUGUUUUAAGUUAAUGUAUAUUUUAAAUUAUAUGAUCAGAGGAGUUUUAUGCAGAUAAAAUUUUUCUUAUCCUUUUUAAAUUUUAGGUCAUGAUUGUUAAAUUUUAGUGAAUAUACAAAACGAAGUGAGUAGAGUCAUUUUUUAUGCUAUAUUUAUAAGCCAUUUGAGACGUUUCAAAAACUAUUACAUCGAACUAUGAGUUGUUAUUAUUUGUCAACCUGUUUUAGGUUAAUGUAUAUUUUAAAUUGUAUAUGAUCAGAGGAGUUUUAUGCAGAUGGAAUUUCUCUUAUCUUUUUUAAAUUUUAGGUCAUGAUUGUUAAAUUUUAGUGAAUAUACAAAACAGAAUAAAGUCAAUUUUUUAUGCUAUAUUGAUAAGCCCUUUGAGACAUUUCAAAAACUAUUGCAUUGAACUAUGAGUUGAUACUAUUUAUCAACCUAUUUUAAAUUAAUGUAUGUUUUAAAUUAUAUAUGAUCAGAGAAGUUUUAUGCAGAUGAAAAUUUUCUUAUCCUUUUUUAAAUUUUAAGUCAUGAUUGUUAAAUUUUAGUGAAAAUUGAAGAAAAACCAAUAAGAAAAUGGAUUAGGAUAAAGAAAAUUGAAAAUGGAGACAAAAUUUUACUUAUUGACAAAAUGCCCGAGGCCAUUGACACAACAAUAAAAUGAGUAUAAGUAAGCGAUGUCAAUUUUUAUUUUUAUUCUUAUAAUCACAAUAAGUAAAAUUUUUUGUCUCCAUUUUCAAUUUUAGUGGUUUAAAUAAGUAAAAAUAUGUUUCAAUAUUAGUGGUGCCAAUACGUAGAUUAAGUAGAGUUUAAAUUCCUUCAACGUGAACACUACCUAAUUCUAAAUCUCUCAACCCAAUCCUACCCUAUCUGACUUGUAAAAAUAAAUUAUUUUUUCUUCAUACAAACAUUUAGUCCUUAUCUCAUAAUAUUAAACAUUAUUUAUUUAUCAUUAACAUAUUGAAUUACUAGUUUGAUAACACUAAAUAUUUGUGAAAAAUAUAAGAAUUUAGAUUCAAAUUUUUACUCGAUUAUCAUAUAUAUAUAUGAACAUUCACAUUAUAUAUUAAACUUAUAUAUUAAACGUGCGAAUUAGACGGAUAAGAUUGACUCAGCACUUAAAUCAAACCCUACCCACUGCGAGUCAAGUUGCCAACCCGCAAAUGCAGGUUGUACUGCUAGCCCUACCUGCCAUGUGAUGUUCAACUUUUCUGACAUGGAACAUCUUUCCUCAAAAUCCAUAUCUUACUAUUAUAUUUUCCAACUAAUGAAUAAUCAAUAUUGCACCAUAAACAUAAAAUAAAAAAAUACUACCACUUCUUUUCUUCUUUGACUCAAGUAAAUGGAAGAACUCAGGGACCUAUGAUGAAACAAGUGACGUAUAUAGCAAAUACCUUAAGCGUCAUUAAUUAUGUUGAUACAUAAAAUCGGGUUGACAAGUGAAUACAACAGUGUGUUAACAUUUCAAGAAAGAUGAAUACUCCCAGGAGGACAUCUUCAUAUAAAGAUAAUAUUGUAAAACAUUCGAUGAUUUAGUCAAACAUGCUUAGUUAAACAUGUCAAACUGCAAAAUCAUCUUCACAUGAAAACGUAUUCACGGAAGUAACCACCUUAAAGAAAAGCUCAGUGUAAGUCACAACUUCAG